rnacentral:rRNA from 1 species
AUUGAACGCUGGCGGCAUGCCUUACACAUGCAAGUCGAACGGCAGCGGACCUUCGGGUGCCGGCGAGUGGCGAACGGGUGAGUAAUAUAUCGGAACGUACCUUUUCAGUGGGGGAUAACGUAGCGAAAGUUACGCUAAUACCGCAUAUUCUGUGAGCAGGAAAGCAGGGGAUCGCAAGACCUUGCGCUGAUUGAGCGGCCGAUAUCAGAUUAGCUAGUUGGUGAGGUAAAGGCUCACCAAGGCGACGAUCUGUAGCGGGUCUGAGAGGAUGAUCCGCCACACUGGAACUGAGACACGGUCCAGACUCCUACGGGAGGCAGCAGUGGGGAAUUUUGGACAAUGGGCGCAAGCCUGAUCCAGCCAUGCCGCGUGAGUGAAGAAGGCCUCGG